GCAGCCGCGGUAAUUCCAGCUCCAAUAGCGUAUAUUAAAGUUGUUGCAGUUAAAAAGCUCGUAGUUGAAUUUCGGGAUCUAUCCGUCGGUCGGGCCUCACGGUCCGCACUGGUGUGAUGGAUUCCUACCUUCUGAAUAACCGGUAUGCCAUUAAUUUGAUGUGCCGGGGAAGCAGAACCAUUACCUUGAAAAAAUUAGAGUGCUCAAAGCAGGCCUAUGCCUGAAUACAUUAGCAUGGAAUAAUAAAAUAGGACGGCAUGGUUCUAUUUUGUUGGUUUCUAGGAUCACCGUAAUGAUUAAUAGGGAUAGUUGGG
rnacentral:rRNA from 1 species